UGAUCUGACGAGCUUGCUCUGAUUUGAUUUUAUCUGACAAAGAGUGGCGAACGGGUGAGUAACACGUGGGUAACCUACCUCUUAGCAGGGGAUAACAUUUGGAAACAAGUGCUAAUACCGUAUAAUACCAACAACCGCAUGGUUGUUGGUUGAAAGAUGGUUCUGCUAUCACUAAGAGAUGGACCCGCGGUGCAUUAGCUAGUUGGUAAGGUAACGGCUUACCAAGGCAAUGAUGCAUAGCCGAGUUGAGAGACUGAUCGGCCACAAUGGGACUGAGACACGGCCCAUACUCCUACGGGAGGCAGCAGUAGGGAAUCUUCCACAAUGGGCGCAAGCCUGAUGGAGCAACGCCGCGUGUGUGAUGAAGGGUUUCGGCUCGUAAAACACUGUUAUAAGAGAAGAACGGCACUGAGAGUAACUGUUCAGUGUGUGACGGUAUCUUACCAGAAAGGAACGGCUAAAUACGUGCCAGCAGCCGCGGUAAUACGUAUGUUCCAAGCGUUAUCCGGAUUUAUUGGGCGUAAAGCGAGCGCAGACGGUUAUUUAAGUCUGAAGUGAAAGCCCUCAGCUCAACUGAGGAAUGGCUUUGGAAACUGGAUGACUUGAGUGCAGUAGAGGAAAGUGGAACUCCAUGUGUAGCGGUGAAAUGCGUAGAUAUAUGGAAGAACACCAGUGGCGAAGGCGGCUUUCUGGACUGUAACUGACGUUGAGGCUCGAAAGUGUGGGUAGCAAACAG
rnacentral:rRNA from 1 species